rnacentral:rRNA from 1 species
ACUCCUACGGGAGGCAGCAGUGGGGAAUAUUGCACAAUGGGCGCAAGCCUGAUGCAGCCAUGCCGCGUGUAUGAAGAAGGCCUUCGGGUUGUAAAGUACUUUCAGCAGUGAGGAAGGUGGGUAUGUUAAUAGCAUACUCAUUUGACGUUAGCUGCAGAAGAAGCACCGGCUAACUCCGUGCCAGCAGCCGCGGUAAUACGGAGGGUGCGAGCGUUAAUCGGAAUUACUGGGCGUAAAGCGCAUGCAGGUGGUUUGUUAAGUCAGAUGUGAAAGCCCGGGGCUCAACCUCGGAAUUGCAUUUGAAACUGGCAAACUAGAGUACUGUAGAGGGGGGUAGAAUUUCAGGUGUAGCGGUGAAAUGCGUAGAGAUCUGAAGGAAUACCGGGUGGCGAAGGCGGCCCCCUGGACAGAUACUGACACUCAGAUGCGAAAGCGUGGGGAGCAAACAGGAUUAGAUACCCUGGUAGGCUCU